rnacentral:rRNA from 1 species
CAGAGGGGGCAAGCGUUGUUCGGAAUUACUGGGCGUAAAGGGCGCGUAGGCGGCCUGCUAAGUCGAACGUGAAAUCCCCGGGCUCAACCCGGGAACUGCGUCCGAUACUGGCAGGCUUGAAUCCGGGAGAGGGAUGUGGAAUUCCAGGUGUAGCGGUGAAAUGCGUAGAUAUCUGGAGGAACACCGGUGGCGAAGGCGGCAUCCUGGACCGGUAUUGACGCUGAUGCGCGAAAGCCAGGGGAGCAAACGGGAUUAGAUACCCCGGUAGUCCUGGCCCUAAACGAUGAAUGCUUGGUGUGGCGGGUAUCGAUCCCUGCCGUGCCAAAGCUAACGCAUUAAGCAUUCCGCCUGGGGAGUACGGUCGCAAGGCUG